rnacentral:rRNA from 1 species
GACGAACGUUGGCGGCGUGCUUAACACAUGCAAGUCGAACGGAAAGGCCCUGCUUUUGUGGGGUGCUCGAGUGGCGAACGGGUGAGUAACACGUGAGUAACCUGCCCUUGACUUUGGGAUAACUUCAGGAAACUGGGGCUAAUACCGGAUAGGAGCUCCUGCUGCAUGGUGGGGGUUGGAAAGUUUCGGCGGUUGGGGAUGGACUCGCGGCUUAUCAGCUUGUUGGUGGGGUAGUGGCUUACCAAGGCUUUGACGGGUAGCCGGCCUGAGAGGGUGACCGGCCACAUUGGGACUGAGAUACGGCCCAGACUCCUACGGGAGGCAGCAGUGGGGAAUAUUGCACAAUGGGCGGAAGCCUGAUGCAGCAACGCCGCGUGCGGGAUGACGGCCUUCGGGUUGUAAACCGCUUUCGCCUGUGACGAAGCGUGAGUGACGGUAAUGGGUAAAGAAGCACCGGCUAACUACGUGCCAGCAGCCGCGGUGAUACGUAGGGUGCGAGCGUUGUCCGGAUUUAUUGGGCGUAAAGGGCUCGUAGGUGGUUGAUCGCGUCGGAAGUGUAAUCUUGGGGCUUAACCCUGAGCGUGCUUUCGAUACGGGUUGACUUGAGGAAGGUAGGGGAGAAUGGAAUUCCUGGUGGAGCGGUGGAAUGCGCAGAUAUCAGGAGGAACACCAGUGGCGAAGGCGGUUCUCUGGGCCUUUCCUGACGCUGAGGAGCGAAAGCGUGGGGAGCGAACAGGCUUAGAUACCCUGGUAGUCCACGCUGUAAACGGUGGGUACUAGGUGUGGGGUCCAUUCCACGGGUUCCGUGCCGUAGCUAACGCUUUAAGUACCCCGCCUGGGGAGUACGGCCGCAAGGCUAAAACUCAAAGGAAUUGACGGGGCCCCGCACAAGCGGCGGAGCAUGCGGAUUAAUUCGAUGCAACGCGUAGAACCUUACCUGGGUUUGACAUGGAUCGGGAGUGCUCAGAGAUGGGUGUGCCUCUUUUGGGGUCGGUUCACAGGUGGUGCAUGCCUGUCGUCAGCUCGUGUCGUGAGAUGUUGGGUUAAGUCCCGCAACGAGCGCAACCCUUGUUCACUGUUGCCAGCACGUUAUGGUGGGGACUCAGUGGAGACCGCCGGGGUCAACUCGGAGGAAGGUGGGGAUGACGUCAAGUCAUCAUGCCCCUUAUGUCCAGGGCUUCACGCAUGCUACAAUGGCUGGUACAGAGAGAGGCGAGCCUGUGAGGGUGAGCGAAUCUCGGAAAGCCGGUCUCAGUUCGGAUUGGGGUCUGCAACUCGACCUCAUGAAGUCGGAGUCGCUAGUAAUCGCAGAUCAGCAACGCUGCGGUGAAUACGUUCCCGGGGCU